UACUUUAUAAUAUAAAAUAUGAACACAGCAGCAAGUCAAGUAAUGUAGCCAGCACUUGCAAAUUGUAAAUUUGUAAUCACUGAAAAAGAACAGGGCACUUUAUACUAAUGAGAAACACACAACCAAAAGUUAACCUCCAAUGCACCUCAACACUGUAGAUUGCACAUAGAUUUUUAACCACAUGGGUACCCUUCUAUGUGCACGCCUUUUACUAAACAUAUAUCAACACAAUACCUGUUUUGAAAAGGAGCACACCUUUUAUUUUAAGUUGAAUACCCAUUAUCCUACCCCAAAUUGCUUCGAAUUAAAAUCAUGUGCGAACUGCAACACUUAUUUCUGAUCAGAUAUAAACAUUCUGUCCUCGAGUAACUCCUCAACCGCGAAAGGGCCUCUAGCCUAGUGGUUGAGGACUUCCGAGUAGCACCUCCAAGUCCUGGGUUCGAUUCCCCUCGGGAGCGAAUUUUCAGGCUUGGUUAAAAAAAUCCCCUCGUUGUGCCCCAUCCGCUCUCGGGUUACGAUGUCCUGUGCGCCACCCUCCGGUUGGGCCGUUGUAGAGUGGACAGUUGACGUCGACCCGUUAGUGAUGGGGGGCCAGGGUUCGGGAAUUUUCUCGGCCGGGACCAAUGUUUCGGUCUCUUCUUAAUAUAAUACCGGGAGGGCGGUCUUUCCCUCCCCGGCCGAGUUUUUUGAGUAACUCCUCAACCUUUCAUCAGAGACUAAACAGUACAACAAUAAAGCCUUUUUAGUCCCAAGCAAGUUGGGAUAGGCCAGAGUUAAAACUCAACCAAAACCGCAAUUUAAGGUUCCGCAGAUGGAUAGCUGUUAUCCAUGCACUCAUAUUCAAGACUAAAUCUUUAGAUAUCUUCCAUCCUUUCAAGUCUCCUUAACCAUAUUCUCACCAGUCACCAAACAGCUUACGGUACUGUUGAGUAGAUCCUUGUUGCAAGGGUACUAUCAGCAGAAGAUGAUACAGCCUUUAAGGCUGGUCAGAACAAGAAGACAAAAAUUGCCAGUAACAAAAUUAAUCCGCAAGAAACCGGAUGCAUCCCAUGUAUUAUCCAAAACACAAGAGGAUACAAAUCCUAUAGGAAUAACCCCUUUGGAACAAAGGAGUGGGUUUUUUGCAAAUCCUAUUUAAUGGCUUGUUUCAUAGGAAUUUUGGAACAAUUUUUACUACAGAGGUUGAACCUCAUGGAAAGCUUCCUUCGUGUCAGUCUCUCAUCGAAUUCCUCUGUUUUUCCUGUGAUCCGUCUAAUACGUUUAAACUUGCUCUUGCAGUUUUAUGUGCUUUCUCAAUCCAUAGGAUUCAAGAUGUUAGAGCAUUUUAUUCCUAUGUUUUCCUAUUACUGCGUUUCAAAGAUGGCUAAAAACCCC
rnacentral:lncRNA from 1 species